rnacentral:rRNA from 1 species
UACGUAGGAUCCGAGCGUUAUCCGGAUUUACUGGGCGUAAAGAGUUGCGUAGGUGGCAUAGUAAGUUAAUAGUGAAAUCGUGCGGCUCAACCGCAUACCCAUUAUUAAAACUACUAAGCUAGAGAAUGAGAGAGGUACCUGGAAUUCCCUGUGUAGGAGUGAAAUCCGUAGAUAUAGGGAGGAACACCGAUGGCGUAGGCAGGGUACUGGCUCAUUUCUGACACUAAGGCACGAAAGCGUGGGGAGCAAACGGG